UGUAGAAAUAGCCUACUUAAUUGAAAAAAAUGAUGACAUCUUAAUCUUGAUGAAUGACUGUAUUUGUAAUUUUACAAGGCUGUUCUCUCCAUUUUAUUCCAUGUCUGUUCUGCCUCUGGUGACUCAACUGCAUUCUGAUUAGGGAGUGCGCUGCUGAACUCCAUAGAUAGAUUUUUCCCCCUGUUCUUGAAAAAUGGAAAACUUUGGCCAAGUCAUUUUUUAAACAAAAAUAUUUAAAAGCUUGCUUGUUUGUAACAAGAAAACGGACAAAAUACUAUUGUGAAUGUGAGCAGCUCUGACUUGGCUGUAGGCCUGGUUGAAGGCUUUCGUAGUUAUUUUUUGCCUGCUCCCAGUGUAGGGCAUUGUUUCAUGCUUCAUGCAUGGGCAUUUGAUUUUUAUAGGCGGACCGCUUGCAAAUGUUGUUAAUGGUUAUUAUAAUACAGACCAUAGGCAGCUGUUGAGUUUCAAGUGUGGAGAAGCUUACAAUUUAUUUAUCUUUUCUAUCGAUGCCAGUUAUGAUUAUUUAUAAAUGCCCAUUUUCAUGGAACAAUUUCAUUUCAAUAAUAACGUUUUUGUUUCUCAAAAUUAUUGUCACUUGUUUAAUCAUACAAAUCUGAAUUAAAAUUAAACUAAUGCAAUAGUCCAUAUUGCAAAGGCUGGUACUCUUGCAUUAGUUUAAUUUUGAUCCACUGUGAUCCAUUGGUACGUAGCUAUAGAAAUGAGCGCAUGGAAUUCAGAGAUGCCAAUGCAGCAGUAGACAAAUAACUUCCAUCAUCAACUAAGUAAAAUACAAAGGCCUAAGGCCAAAAUAUCUUGAUGAAAAUUCUGUUUCUUUCAAUUACAUUCAUCUCUUCUCCGCUUGUCUGCCUCCCUUUCUAUAUAUGUCUUAACUUGAGCUAUCUCUCGUGAAGUGCAACAUUGUAUCAACUCAGGAGGUUGCUCAGGUGCACUCCUUCCGUAAACGUUAUCGGGACAGAGAAACCACACAUGCUCAUUGCUAACAUGGAGCACUCUAAACAAAAGACAACGAAAACACUGACAAAACUCAUAAAUUAUGAUUAUGAAAUUAACCAAAACUUGUUUCUCACAAAAGUAGGAGGUUGUGAACUCAACAAACAACGUUUACACUCCGAGAAUGGAAACCAAUUUAUGUUAAUGAACGGUACAUUUACUAGCCUACUGGUUACAUAUGUAAUGAAGAAUUGAUCAAAAUAAACAAAGAACAAACAAUUCACACAAUGACACAUUGAAUGUUCGCAAUUGUCAGGGGACAGUGGAGCACCUUCUGGAGAGCUGAGUGCAUGCAUUCUGGAGAAAUAUCUUCUCCACAAACCCCUCUGCUUCUUCUUGUCUCAACAUUUAAAAAUAUACUCAAGACACAUUAUCUUCACACAUUAGAUGCUUUUCAAUGACAAAUCAAUAAUAUUAUUAAUAAUUAUAAUCAAUAAUUAUUACCACGUGCGCUCACCAAAUUUUCAACUUUCAGGAAAAAGGAGGGGAGUGGGUCCUACUGUCGAGAGAAGGAGGGGAAACGGGAAAACCAUAUAAAUAAUGACAUGCCCUCCUAAAACGUGACUUGGUGAGGAUUGAGGAACCAUGGAACAGUUUGAAAGCUUCAUAUGGACUAGAACUAUUAUAUUGGUGCUUGGAAGCAUUGGAUCCUGUAUUGCAUGUGGUAGAGCCGAGUACAGAAUAGGGGAGGAAUGUUGUCCCAUGUGUUCACCAGGAAAUCGUGUACAUAAGCAUUGUACAAAAUUCACCACUACCUCCUGUGUGUCCUGUGUUGCUUUUACAUUCCUUGAUGAGCCCAAUGGUCUCAUGAAAUGUGCACCAUGUUCCAGCUGUGAUUCAGAUUUGGGUUUGAGGGUGAAACAGCCAUGCACAUCACAAUCAGAUGAUUUUUGUGAGCCACAGGAGGGGUUCUUUUGUUGGUUCUCAAACAAAAAUGGUUGUAAAAUAGCCCAGAAACACAGAAGCUGUAAACCUGGUCAAUACAUCCAUCACACAGGAACAACAUCUACAGAUACUGUGUGUUCUGACUGUACUGGUGACACCUAUUCAGAUGGAUCAUUUACAUCCUGCCAGUCACACACUGGAUGUGAAUCGUUGGGACUUCAGGAAAUUAAACCAGGAACUCAUUGGUCGGAUUCAGAGUGUGGAUCACUACUAUCCCAUUCCACAGCUAGAAGCGGAAUUAUUGAUGCCCUGGCAGUUGUCAUUAUAUUAGCUGGAGGGGCUUUCUUUUUAAUAA